GUACACUCCUGCGGGAGGCAGCAGUGAGGAAUAUUGGACAAUGGGUGGAAGCCUGAUCCAGCCAUCCCGCGUGCAGGAAGACGGCCCUAUGGGUUGUAAACUGCUUUUAUCUGGGGAUAAACCUACUUACGUGUAAGUAGCUGAAGGUACCAGAAGAAUAAGCACCGGCUAACUCCGUGCCAGCAGCCGCGGUAAUACGGAGGGUGCAAGCGUUAUCCGGAUUUAUUGGGUUUAAAGGGUCCGUAGGCGGACUGAUAAGUCAGUGGUGAAAUCCGACAGCUUAACUGUCGAACUGCCAUUGAUACUGUUAGUCUUGAGUAAGGUUGAAGUGGCUGGAAUAAGUAGUGUAGCGGUGAAAUGCAUAGAUAUUACUUAGAACACCAAUUGCGAAGGCAGGUCACUAAGUCUUAACUGACGCUGAUGGACGAAAGCGUGGGGAGCGAACAGGAUUAGAAACCCCUGUAGUCC
rnacentral:rRNA from 1 species